UACGUAGGGUGCAAGCGUUGUCCGGAAUUAUUGGGCGUAAAGAGCUCGUAGGCGGUCUGUCGCGUCUGCUGUGAAAACUCGGGGCUUAACCCCGGGCCUGCAGUGGGUACGGGCAGACUAGAGUGCGGUAGGGGAGAAUGGAAUUCCUGGUGUAGCGGUGGAAUGCGCAGAUAUCAGGAGGAACACCGAUGGCGAAGGCAGUUCUCUGGGCCGUAACUGACGCUGAGGAGCGAAAGCGUGGGGAGCAAACAGG
rnacentral:rRNA from 1 species